UCUCUGGUGGCUCAGACGGUAAAGCGUCUGCCUACAAUGCAGGAGACCCAGGUUCAAUCCCAGGAUUGGGAA
rnacentral:tRNA from 1 species